rnacentral:rRNA from 1 species
CGUAGGUGGCAAGCGUUACUCGGAAUCACUAGGCGUAAAGCGCAGGUAGGCGGUUGGAUAAGUCUGUUGUGAAAGCUCCCGGCUUAACUGGGAGAGGUCAACGGAAACUAUCCGGCUAGAGUGUGGUAGAGGAAGAUGGAAUUCCCGGUGUAGCGGUGAAAUGCGUAGAUAUCGGGAGGAAUACCUAUGGCGAAAGCAGUCUUCUGGACCAUCACUGACGCUGAUCUGCGAAAGCUAGGGGAGCAAACAGGAUUAGAUACCCUGGUAGUCCUAGCCCUAAACGAUGCUCAUUAGGUGUGGGAGGUAUCGACCCCUUCCGCGCCGUAGCUAACGCAUUAAAUGAGCCGCCUGGGGAGUACGGCCGCAAGGUUG